GUUUUUCGCUCAUAGAUGAGUCCGCGUGAGAUUAGCUAGUUGGUGAGGUAACGGCUCACCAAGGCGACGAUCUCUAACUGGUCUGAGAGGAUGAUCAGUCACACUGGAACUGAGACACGGUCCAGACUCCUACGGGAGGCAGCAGUAGGGAAUAUUGCACAAUGGAGGAAACUCUGAUGCAGCGACGCCGCGUGAGUGAUGAAGGCCUUCGGGUCGUAAAGCUCUGUCGCAGGGGAAUAACACAAUG
rnacentral:rRNA from 1 species